rnacentral:misc_RNA from 1 species
AACGCACAUUGCGCCCGCUAGUAUUCUGGCGGGCAUGCCUGUUCGAGCGUCAUUUCAACCAUCAAGCCCCAGGCUUGUGUUGGAGCCCUGCGGCUGCUGCAGGCUCCCAAAUACAGUGGCGGGCUCGUCGUCGUACCGAGUGCAGUAAACAUCCUCGCUCAGGGAACGCGUCGGGUUCUUGCCGUGAAACCCCCCCUAUAUCAAGGUUGACCUCGGAUCAGGUAGGAAUACCCGCUGAACUUAA